GAUGAACGCUGGCGGCGUGCCUAACACAUGCAAGUCGAGCGAUUCUCUUCGGAGAAGAGCGGCGGACGGGUGAGUAACGCGUGGGUAACCUGCCCUGUACACACGGAUAACAUACCGAAAGGUAUGCUAAUACGAGAUAAUAUGCUUUUAUCGCAUGGUAGAAGUAUCAAAGCUUUUGCGGUACAGGAUGGACCCGCGUCUGAUUAGCUAGUUGGUAAGGUAACGGCUUACCAAGGCGACGAUCAGUAGCCGACCUGAGAGGGUGAUCGGCCACAUUGGAACUGAGACACGGUCCAAACUCCUACGGGAGGCAGCAGUGGGGAAUAUUGCACAAUGGGCGAAAGCCUGAUGCAGCAACGCCGCGUGAGCGAUGAAGGCCUUCGGGUCGUAAAGCUCUGUCCUCAAGGAAGAUAAAUGACGGUACUUGAGGAGGAAGCCCCGGUAACUACGUG
rnacentral:rRNA from 1 species